CAUCUCAUGGGGUAGUAUAAAAAAUACUUUUUGUUUACACCAAAACUCUGGCCACAAUCCCCCCCAUGA
rnacentral:tRNA from 1 species